GCUGACACAUUACAGCCAAUCAGCAGCAGACCCUCCCUCCCAGACCCUCCCACCUCCUGGACAGCUCACUAAGAAUGCAGCUUCACAAUGAAUGUAAAAUGGAUGCUGUCCAGGAGGUGGGAGGGUCUGGGAGGGAGGGUCUGCUGCUGAUUGGCUGGAAUGUGUCU